rnacentral:tRNA from 1 species
GGGGGGCUAAUCCAAAUAAGAUUUCUGAUUUCGGCUCAGACCAUUGUGGUUGAAGUCCACAGCCCCCUU